rnacentral:rRNA from 1 species
UACGUAGGGGGCUAGCGUUGUCCGGAAUCAUUGGGCGUAAAGAGCGUGUAGGCGGCUCGGUAAGUCUGCUGUGAAAGUCCAGGGCUCAACCCUGGAAUGCCGGUGGAAACUGUCGGGCUAGAGUCCGGAAGAGGCGAGUGGAAUUCCUGGUGUAGCGGUGAAAUGCGCAGAUAUCAGGAGGAACACCAAUGGCGAAGGCAGCUCGCUGGGACGGUACUGACGCUGAGACGCGAAAGCGUGGGGAGCAAACAGG